rnacentral:tRNA from 1 species
GUCCCUGUAGCGCAAUCGACAGCGUGUUGGACUUCUAAUACAAAGGUCGCGGGUUUGAACCCCACCUGGGAUG